rnacentral:rRNA from 1 species
GCUCCAAUAGCGUAUAUUUAAGUUGUUGCAGUUAAAAAGCUCGUAGUUGGAUUUCGGGUGGGUGCCUGCGGUCGGCCUUUGGUCAGUACUGCUCGCGCCUACCUUUCUGCCGGGGACGGGCUCCUGGGCUCACUGUCCGGGACUCGGAAUCGGCGAGGUUACUUUGAGUAAUUAGAGUGUUCAAGCAAGCCUACGCUCUG